rnacentral:rRNA from 1 species
GACGAACGCUGGCGGCGUGCCUAAUACAUGCAAGUAGAACGCACAGUUUAUACCGUAGCUUGCUACACCAUAGACUGUGAGUUGCGAGCGGGUGAGUAACGCGUAGGUAACCUGCCUGGUAGCGGGGGAUAACUAUUGGAAACGAUAGCUAAUACCGCAUAAUAUUAAUUAUUGCAUGAUAAUUAAUUGAAAGGUGCAAUUGCACCACUACCAGAUGGACCUGCGUUGUAUUAGCUAGUAGGUGAGGUAACGGCUCACCUAGGCGACGAUACAUAGCCGACCUGAGAGGGUGAUCGGCCACACUGGGACUGAGACACGGCCCAGACUCCUACGGGAGGCAGCAGUAGGGAAUCUUCGGCAAUGGACGAAAGUCUGACCGAGCAACGCCGCGUGAGUGAAGAAGGUUUUCGGAUCGUAAAGCUCUGUUGUAAGAGAAGAAAGGGUGUGAGAGUGGAAAGUUCACACUGUGACGGUAUCUGACCAGAAAGGGACGGCUAACUACGUG